CAAAACAAACCUCUUAGAGGAGCAUGCCAAUAGAAGGCGUCACUGCCGCAGCUGAUAAUGCUAAUAGAACGGGGUCUGUGUGAAUUCAGCUGAGAGGAUUUGAAACUGUAUGAAGAAGAAGGAAGAACGUUUUAUGAGCAAUGACAAAAGCCAUUCUUCUUCCCUAUUUGUGUCCUCCUCGACUAUAAAUGUCUUCUUUAGUGACAGACUAAGCGAGCUCAGCUUCGGUUCACUUUGUGCAGGGCGUGUGAUCGGAAACCCUAACAAACGUCCCACUUCGGAUUAGCUGGAGCCGCCUUGCAGCAUGUCAGAGUAAAGGCAGAACUCCAGAGUUGGCUGUGAUUUUUAAAGGCCAGCAGAUACCAAAAUGUCGGGCCAGGAGGCUGAGGGGAAACAGUUGGGUGCGUAGCAGCCUGACGUUCAGCCAGAGUGGAUAGGGAUCUACGGAGGCAGGGACGUGAUGUAGCGUUUAUUCAUCGCCGCCUCCGCUGCUGCCUAUUCUUCAUCACAAAUUCAGUUUAUUCCUUUCAGAUUAAAAGAAAGGCAGCUGAUGUAAGAAAGCCGGAUCACAGACAGACGAGACGUUCUAGCAUGUGGCAUUUAAUUUUACGGCGGGGCUUUGUAGCAGAUUUAGCAGAUUUAAGCAUGCCGCAGAAUACUUUUAAUUUAAUAGGAGAAAAGGAAAUUAAAGAAAAAUGUUACCAUUGUGGGACAUACA